rnacentral:rRNA from 1 species
GACGAACCGUGCGAACGUUGUUCGGAAUCACUGGGCUUAAAGGGCGCGUAGGCGGCUCGCCAGGUCUCAGGUGAAAUCUUUCGGCUCAACCGGAAAAGUGCCUGAGAUACCGGCGGGCUCGAGCGAGGUAGGGGCAGGGGGAACUUCCGGUGGAGCGGUGAAAUGCGUUGAUAUCGGAAGGAACGCCGGUGGCGAAAGCGCCCUGCUGGACCUCACCUGACGCUGAGGCGCGAAAGCCAGGGGAG